AUUGUACCAAUGAAUAAACUUUAUUUAUCAGUCUACAUGAUCAUCAAGCAGUUUAAUGUGAUACAAAAUCUAACACAUGUGAACAAAUACUGCACCACUAUGAGUUAGACAUUUGUGUACUCAGAAGGAGCAAGACUUUUUUGACAUUUAUUUACUAAACAAUUUCAAAACUUGUUUUUUUAUGUGUGUGUUAUCCAAGCACUUCUAAUUCAUAAAUGUUUAUUCCAAAUAUUGACAUCUAAAGGCUUUAUCUAGGCACAAUUACGUUUGAUAUCAAAUUUGUAUAGUAUAUAAGUCCAAAAUCAUUUUUUUUAGCUUCGUACUAGACCAGGAUGUUAAAAAUAACCCAAUUAUAACACAAGUACUUCAUAAUAAAUGAUGUAUAAAAAUGAUUACAAAUUUCAAGCAUUCACUUAUGAUGUAAUGAUUACAUUCACAAAAAUCUUAGAGGCAGAGUUGAUUGAAAAGAAUAAUAAAUCCAAGCUUAGACUACCAUUCUUGUUAUCUGAUUUUAAAAAAAACAACAAAUAGCUCCAGCACACCAAAGAUAUGGUUUUAUUAUUUAGAAGUACAGUUAGGAUCAAAGGAAAUGAAGGAGGAAGCAUGCAGCCACCAUCACCAAAUGAAGGAGGAAUCCUGCUAUUGCCAUUGUCAAGUGAAGGUUUCAGAGAGAAUAGGAAAAGAAUCCAAACAUAGAGAACAAUCAAGGGGAAAGUUGUCCUUUUAAAGAUGAUAUCAUGCUAAAGAAAAAGGAGUCUGAUGGGAUAAUUGCUCGUUCAACCUGUGCUGCUGAUGAUGACAAUUUGUUUUCAGAACUAAAUUUGCUUUUGAAAAACACAAUUUAGUUGUAGAAAAUGUCACUGCAGCUUCAUGUUAAAUGCAAAUGCUGCCCCAAAGCUUUUAAGCUGUGGCCAGUUAUUGUGCAAGAUGCAUUUGAAAUCAAUUGGCAGAAACACCAAAGACUUUUUGUUUUGUAAAUUAGACAAUAUCAUAACUAACAUUCCCUGUGGAGAACACUGACUUAGCUGAUUCAGCAGACAAGAUUAAACAACCCAUAUUGAAAAGAUUACUUCAAGGGAUUGAAGUUGUUUCCAGACAACAAUAGAAGCUAUUAUUAAUA